CGCAAUGGAUUAAAAUCCUGCAGUGCCCGAAAGGUACCCCUGCUUAAGAAGGCACAUGUGGAGGCCCGCCU